rnacentral:lncRNA from 1 species
GCUCGAAUUCUUCUUCUCAGCGCCGCUACCUCCCCUGGGUAGGUGUCUGUGUAUCAAAAUAGUUCGGAAAAAUCACAGCUCUCACCUUUAUCCAGAAAACAGAACAGUGCAACAAAAAACAUUCAUCUGACAGCGUGACCCAAGCUCCUCUAUAAAAAAGGAGAUCAAAGGUAGCCACACCAACUUCCUUAAACUAUACUUAUUAUACAUACCAUUUUCAGUUCUGCUUUUAAAAGUAGAUUGAGAUGAUGGGAAGUGAUUCAAAACAUGAUUUUAAAUGAGCAAAAGCUCUCUGAAUGGGAGCAGAGCUUUGGGAACACCAGCACCAGGAUGAGGAAAUGCCCCCCAAGAGGCUCAGAUGUAGAUGGAGGGGAUUGUUGCAAAGGCCUUGCAAACUAAAGAUGUUAGAGAAGACAUCCAGACUUCCAGACAUGUAGACACAGGGAGUGCCUUGUGUCAUAAGAAAUACAGCCAUGAGCAGAGCGAGCUCAAAGGACAGCCCAAGGAAGGCUGAGGUUCUAGCAGAGAGAAAUGAGAAGAAUCUUGGUGUAAAAUCUCUUCUUCCUUUUAUAUUACAUUUUGGACACAAGAGAGGCAGAGUGAACAUUUGAGUUGCCUUUUAGUGUGGCUUUCUCUUUUUUUCUUACCAUGUCCCAGGGAUACUCCUGCACAAUAAGCUGAGGUAGGGCUGGGAAAUGAGGUGCCUUACCCUCUGCAUGCAGCUCAGCCACACAGAAGAAAGCAAAGCUCUUCCUUGAGGCUGGGAUUCAUGGACAUUUUCUAACUUCUACAGUUGUCAUAAGGGUUCAUCAGUGGCCUUAUUCCACCAAAAGAGUGGAGACACGGUCAGCCUCGAGUCACGACUCUUUCCAUUGGCAGCCGGUGCAGGAGGGAGAGCCUGGUUAAAUCCCUGCAUUUGCCUUGUGUCAAUCAUGGAUGGGGCUGGGAAAGGCAAAGCAGUCCUCUGUGCCACGGGUGCCGUGUCCCCUGUGGUGCUGCACAUCACUGGCAGCAGUGCUUAGGUGAGCUCUGGAGAGGCUGGAAUCUGAGAAUCGUGGAAUCAUUAAGGUUGGAAAAGACCACUAAGAUCAACCAGUCCAACCAUCAACGCAU